rnacentral:rRNA from 1 species
AUUGAACGCUGGCGGCAGGCCUAACACAUGCAAGUCGAACGGUAACAGGAAACAGCUUGCUGUUUCGCUGACGAGUGGCGGACGGGUGAGUAAUGUCUGGGAAACUGCCUGAUGGAGGGGGAUAACUACUGGAAACGGUAGCUAAUACCGCAUAACGUCGCAAGACCAAAGAGGGGGACCCUCGGGCCUCUUGCCAUCGGAUGUGCCCAGAUGGGAUUAGCUUGUUGGUGGGGUAACGGCUCACCAAGGCGACGAUCCCUAGCUGGUCUGAGAGGAUGACCAGCCACACUGGAACUGAGACACGGUCCAGACUCCUACGGGAGGCAGCAGUGGGGAAUAUUGCACAAUGGGCGCAAGCCUGAUGCAGCCAUGCCGCGUGUAUGAAGAAGGCCUGCGGGUUGUAAAGUACUUUCAGCGGGGAGGAAGGGAGUAAAGUUAAUACCUUUGCUCAUUGACGUUACCCGCAGAAGAAGCACCGGCUAACUCCGU